rnacentral:rRNA from 1 species
UGAUCCCUGGCUCAGGACGAACGCUGGCGGCAUGCCUAAUACAUGCAAGUCGAGCGGAGUAAGAAUGGAAGCUUGCUUCCAUUCUUACUUAGCGGCGGACGGGUGAGUAACACGUAGGCAACCUGCCCUCAAGACUGGGAUAACUACCGGAAACGGUAGCUAAUACCGGAUAAUUUCUUUCCUCUCCUGAAGAGAGAAUGAAAGGCGGAGCAAUCUGCCACUUGGGGAUGGGCCUGCGGCGCAUUAGCUAGUUGGUGGGGUAACGGCUCACCAAGGCGACGAUGCGUAGCCGACCUGAGAGGGUGAACGGCCACACUGGGACUGAGACACGGCCCAGACUCCUACGGGAGGCAGCAGUAGGGAAUCUUCCGCAAUGGGCGAAAGCCUGACGGAGCAAUGCCGCGUGAGUGAUGAAGGUUUUCGGAUCGUAAAGCUCUGUUGCCAGGGAAGAACGUCCGGUAGAGUAACUGCUACCGGAGUGACGGUACCUGAGAAGAAAGCCCCGGC